rnacentral:lncRNA from 1 species
GUAAGGGUUAGUAUGUCUGCUAGGGACAGGAAGAAGCCUGCCAGCCAUGUGGAAGAGAGAGAAAAGGAGUCACUGCUGUGAGGAGCUACCCGUGGGAACUCACAGAGAGAAGCUCAAUGUAAAGAAAGGGGUAGAGACUGCUGAUGAGCAAGGUGGAAGAAGUGCCAUAAUAAUUCUAUUUACUCUGUGCAGAACGUGUGUGCCAAUGCUUUGAAAAGAUACGCAGAAAAAGAAAUGUUGCUGCCUUUGAAUUGCAU